rnacentral:rRNA from 1 species
UACGUAGGGGGCAAGCGUUGUCCGGGAUCAUUGGGCGUAAAGAGCGUGUAGGCGGCCCGGUAAGUCCGCUGUGAAAGUCGGGGGCUCAACCCUCGAAUGCCGGUGGAUACUGUCGGGCUAGAGUGCGGGAGAGGCGAGUGGAAUUCCUGGUGUAGCGGUGAAAUGCGCAGAUAUCAGGAGGAACACCGAUUGCGAAGGCAGCUCGCUGGAACGUAACUGACGCUGAGACGCGAAAGCGUGGGGAGCAAACAGG